AGUGAACGCUGGCGGUAGGCCUAACACAUGCAAGUCGAACGGCAGCACAGUAAGAGCUUGCUCUUACGGGUGGCGAGUGGCGGACGGGUGAGGAAUACAUCGGAAUCUACUUUUUCGUGGGGGAUAACGUAGGGAAACUUACGAUAAUACCGCAUACGACCUACGGGUGAAAGCAGGGGAUCUUCGCACCUUGCGCGAUUGAAUGAGCGGAUGUCGGAUUAGCUAGUUGGCGGGGUAAAGGCCCACCAAGGCGACGAUCCGUAGCUGGUCUGAGAGGAUGAUCAGCCACACUGGAACUGAGACACGGUCCAGACUCCUACGGGAGGCAGCAGUGGGGAAUAUUGGACAAUGGGCGCAAGCCUGAUCCAGCCAUACCGCGUGGGUGAAGAAGGCCUUCGGGUUGUAAAGCCCUUUUGUUGGGAAAGAAAAGCAGCAGGUUAAUACCCCGCUGUUCUGACGGUACCCAAAGAAUAAGCACCGGCUAACUUCGUG
rnacentral:rRNA from 1 species